rnacentral:rRNA from 1 species
UGGGGAAUAUUGCACAAUGGGGGAAACCCUGAUGCAGCGACGCCGCGUGAACGAAGAAGGUAUUCGUAUCGUAAAGUUCUGUCCUAUGGGAAGAUAAUGACAGUACCAUAGAAGAAAGCUCCGGCUAAAUACGUGCCAGCAGCCGCGGUAAUACGUAUGGAGCGAGCGUUGUCCGGAAUUAUUGGGCGUAAAGGGUACGCAGGCGGUUUAAUAAGUCGAAUGUUAAAGAUCGGGGCUCAACCCCGUAAAGCAUUGGAAACUGAUAAACUUGAGUAGUGGAGAGGAAAGUGGAAUUCCUAGUGUAGUGGUGAAGUACGUAGGUAUUAGGAGGAAUACCAGUAGCGAAGGCGACUUUCUGGACACAAACUGACGCUGAGGUACGAAAGCGUGGGGAGCAAACAGG